GUUAGAAACCCUGGACCCGGGAGGCGGCGGGAAGGGCCGAGGGGACCCGGGGCCACCCGGUGCGCAGAGGCAGAGGGGCCCCCAAAACCCGCAACGCGGGCCCCUCAGUCUGCGGGCCAAGCCCGGGGUUUCCCUCCAUUAAGAAGUCAGUUGGGCGUUUCUGCUGGCGUGGAGAGCGCUACCAGGUGCCCCCGGAUUUUGAUCGGGAGUCGCUUUUGCCUUUCCGUGGACAAGCCUUCCUCCGCCAGCAGAUGCCCCGGGCAGGAAGAGAAGCGGUGGGUGAGUGGAAAGGGCCUUGGUAUGGAAACGCAGAGACCGAAUUCCUUCUCAUCUGCCAGCUCCGUGGCCGUGGGCACAUUAUCUGUUUUCUUAGUCCGGCUCAUCGUUUCUUUCAAAAACCAUUUUGGACCCUUCUGGGAAGGCAAAGAAGAGAAGCAGAGUGGACUGUGAGCGGACAUAAACCACCCUGAUGGGUAUGAUUUCCAUUUUUGGCACGGGAGUCCGGAGAUUUUGUGACCCUCUCCAAGGACACACAGCAAUCCCUUGAGAGCCCCAAGACCAGAGUCCAGUUGCCAUGACAUUGCUGCCCUAUAACCACACUCUGGGCUCAGGUGACAUCUCCAGCAGCAGAUGAGGCCUCUCUGUGGCUCCAGCUCAUGGAUAGGUAGCUGUGGUCCCAACAUCUGUAGGAUGAUCCAUGCCCCUGGGCUCUACUCAGUCCACCUCCUCUUUUUGUCCCUGCAGGUUAGGAGUUGUAGGCAGCUUCUUGCUUUUGCCAGUCUCUGUACUGCCUCUCUCUGUCCCCUGCUGGGCUUUCCAGACCUCCCUGUUAACCCCUGUUAAUCGUGUCACCAAAACCCUGCAUUACAUUCUCUCUGUUUUCAAUACUUAAAGUGGUUCCCUCCUGGCGGGGCGCAGUGGCUCCCAACUGUAAUCCCAGCAGUUUGGGAGGCCAAGGCAGGUGGAUCACUUGAGGUCAGGAGUUCGAGACCAGCCUGGCCAACAUGGUGAAACCCUGUCUCUACCAUAAGAAAAAAGAAAAAAGAAAUUAGCCCGGCAUGGUGGUGUGUGCCUGUAAUCCCAGCUACUUACGAGGUUGAGUCAGGAAGAUUGCUUGAGCCCAGGAGGCGGAGGUUGCAGUGAGCCAAGAUCAUGCCGCUGCACUUGACUCCAGCCUGGGCGACAGAGCUAGAUUGUCUCAAAAAAAAAGUGGUUCCUAUUUUCCUGGUUGAACCUUGAGUGAUACACCCAGUAUUGUACCACCCAAUUAGUAGACAUUAUUUCUUUUAGGUCAUAUUAUUCUCAGCUUAUAGAGCAAGAAGUUGAAGCUUAAAGGGUUAGAUUACUUGCCCAAGGUAAUACAGCAAGAAUCUUAUUUCAUCCAACCUAGAGUGAAUAUUUCCCCCACAUUUUAAUAUCCCUCAAAUGGUGAUGCUUUCUAUAAUCAACAUCAACGUGAAGUUUAGGACUGAAGUUUAGGACUAUCAAGAAAGUGAAAGAUGGCUUUUCUGGCAUUCAGACUGUGCUGUUACCAGCAGAAAGUAAGCUAUGUUUAGAAUGAGACAUAGAUGAAGCCACUUCAUGACCACAAAGUGACUUCGCCUUUUUUUUUUUUUUUUUUUUUGAAAUGGAGUCUCACUCUGUCACCCAACCUGGAGCGCAGUGGUGCAAUCUCGGCUCACUGCAACCUCCGCCUCCCGGGCUCAAGCAAUUCUCUGCCUCAGCCUCCCAAGCAGCUGGGAUUACAGGCGCCUGCCACCACACUUGGCUAAUUUUUGUAUUUUUAGUAGAGUCAGGGUUUCACCAUCUUGUCCAGGCUGGUCUUGAACUCUGACCUUGUGAUCCUCCUGCCUCGGCCUCUCAAAGUGCUGGGAUUACAGGCGCGAGCUACUGCUUCCGGCCUUUUUUUUUUUUUUUAAAACGGAGUUUUGUUCUUGUUGCCCAGGCUGGAAUGCAAUGGCGCAAUCUCAGCUCACUACAACCUCCGCCUCCCAGGUUCAAGAUUCUCCUGCCUCAGCCUGCCGAGUAGCUGGGAUUACAGGCAUGCGCCAUCACACCUGGCUAAUUUUGUAUUUUUAGUAGAGACGGGGUUUCUCCAUGUUGGUCAGGCUGGUCUCGAACUCCGACCUCAGGUGAUCCGCUUGUCUCGGCCUCCCAAAGUGCUGGGAUUAUAGGUGUGAGCCGCUGCUCCUGGCCGACUUUGCCUUUUUUUAAAAAAAGAAUUUUUUUUUUUUUAGAGAUGGGGUUUCACCAUGUUGUCCAGGCUGGACUCAAGCAAUCCACCUGCCUCAGCCUCCCAAAGUGCUGGAAAGUAGGUGUGCGCUACUGUGCCCGGCCUGACUUCACCUUUUUUGGAGCAAUUGCUAUUUCUCUUUAGCAAAAAUUACUGUAGUCCAGGCUGGGCGUGGUGGCUUACACCUGUAAUCUCAGCACUUUGGGAGGCCAAGGCGGGCUGAUCACUUGAACCCGGGAGGCAGAGGUUGUAGUGAGUCGAGAUUGCGCCACCGCAAUCCAGCCUGGGUGACAGAGCGAGACUCCAUCUCCAAAAAAAAAAAAAAAAAAGAUACCCAGUUUCUGAACUGCCCCUGUUUCUUGACAGCAUUCAAUCCUGAACCAGUUCCAUUUCCCUAAUUCUUCCAUAGAACUAUGGGAACGAGGCCAAAUUUAAGGAGUUUCCUGAGGGUGCCUUGAGGGUUUCCCUGGGAUGUAUUCUCCUUCACUGCAGCAAAUUAAACCUAAUUUUGGUUACAAGUGUGUUCCUGGUGGUCCUUGGUCACAGGGCUUUGACAACCCCAACCAAUUUAUUUUGCCUACAUUUUCAUGUAUAUGAAGAGUGAUAUAUCAUGAAAACCUAUGUUAAAAUAUCAACAAAUCUAGGGCCAGGUGCAGUGGCUCACACCUAUAAUCCCAGCACUUUGGGAGGUCAAGGCGGGAGGCCAGGAGUUCGCAACCAGCCUGGCUAACAUGUCCAAACCCAGUUGCUACAAAAAAUACAAAAAUUAGCUGGAUGGCUGGGCGUGGUGGCGCACGCCUGUAAUCCCAGCACUUUGGGAAGUCAAGGCGGUUGGAUCACCUGAGAUUCGGAGUUCGAGACCAGCGUGGCCAACAUGGUGAAACCCUGUCUCUACUAAAAAUGCAAAUAAUUAGUCGGGUGUGAUGGCGGGCACCUGUAAUCCCAGCUACUCAGGAGGCAGAGGCAGGAGAAUCGCCUGAACCCAGGAGGCGCAGGUUGCAGUGAGCUGAGAUUGUGCCAUUGUACUGCAGCCUGGGCAACAAGAGGGAAACUCCAUCUCAAAAAAAAAAAAAAAAAAAAAAUUGCCAGGCACAGUGGCUCAUGUCUCUAAUCCCAGCACUUUGAGAGGCCGAGGCAGGGGAAUCACCUGAGGUCAGCAGUUCGAGACCGUCCUGGCUAACAUGGUGAAACCCCAUCUCUAUUAAAAGUACAAAAAAUCAGUCGGGUCUGGUGGUGGGCCCCUGUAAUCCCAGCUACUCAGGAGGCUGAGGCAGGAGAAUCACUUGAACCCAGGAGGUGGAGCUUGCAGUGAGCUGAGAUUGGGCCAUUGCACUCCAGGCUGAGCAACAAGAGCAAAACUCUGUCUCAAAAAAAAAAAAGGCCGGGCGUGGUGGCUCAUGCUUGUAAUCCCAGCACUUUGGGAGGCCGAGGUGGGUGGAUCAUGAGAUCAGGAGAUCGAGACCAUCCUGGCUAACAUGGUGAAACCCCAUCUCUACUAAAAAUACAAAAAAUUAGCUGGGCGUGGUGUCAGGCGCCUGUAGUCCCAGCUACUUGGGAGGCUGAGGCAGGAGAAUGGCAUGAACCUGGGAGGUGGAGCUUGCAGUGAGCCGAUCUCACGCCACUGCACUCCAGCCUGGGCGACAGAGUGAGACUCCGUCUCAAAAAAAAAAAAAAAAAAAUUAGCUUGGUGUGGUGGAGUGCCCCUGUAAUCCCAGCUACCUUGAUGUCUGAGGCAUGAGAAUCGCUUGAAUCUGGGAGUUGGAGGUUGCAGUGAUCUGUGAUUGUGCUACUGCACUCCUGCCUCGGCACUCCUGCCUCGGUGACAGGGCAAGACUCUGUCUCAAAAAAAAAAAAGAAAAAAAAUCUGCAAGUCUAAAAGAGCUCUUUUUUUUGUUGUUGUUGGGACAGAGUCUCACUCUGUCUCCCAGGCUGGAGUACAGUGGCACGAUCUCGGCUCACUGCAACCUCCAUCUCCCAGGUUUCAGUGACUCUCCCAUCUCAGCCUCCUGAGUACCUGUGAUUACAGGCGUCCGCCAUCACACCCGGCUAAUUUUUUGUAUUUUUAGUAGAGAUGGGGUUUCACCAUGUUGGCCAAGCUAAUCUCGAACUCCUGAUCUCAAGUGAUCCGACUGCCUUGGUCUCCCAAAGUGCUGGGAUUACAGGCAUGAGCCACUGCACCGGCCUAAAAGAGCUCUUUUAAUUUUUUUUUUUUUUUUUUUGAGACAGAGUCUUGCUCUGUUGCCCAGGCUGGAGUGCAGUGGCGCUAUCUUGGCUCACUGCAACUUCCACCUCCCGGGUUCAAGCGAUUCUCCUGUCUCAGCCUCCUGAGUAGCUGGGAUUACAGGCAUGUGCCACCAUGCUCAGCUAAUUUUUGUAUUUUUAGUACAGACGAGGUUUCAUCAUGUUGGCCAGGCUGGUCUUGAACUCCUGACUUCAAGUGAUCUACCCACCUCGGCCUCCCACAGUGAUGGGAUUACAGGCAUGAGCCACCGAGUCUGGCCAAAAGAGCUCUUUUAAUAAACGUAAAAUAAAAUUCCAAGUGAUAAGAGAUCAUUGUCAUAGUUUGGCAGUAUUUUUUUCUUUGGGGAUACAUAAAAUAAUGGUUCAUCUUGCAAACCAUGAUGUCCUAGAUUUAAUGAAAUGUGGCUAGUUGCUAAGGCAGGACCCAACCCUAGCUCUAUCCCCUGUCCUUGCUCUUAAACACUGCAAUGCUUAGAUGAAGAAACCAAAUCAAACAACAUGAAAGUCACAGAAGCGAAUUGGUCGGCCUGCAAAGCCAGGCCUUCUGCCUUGCAUACCUGCUCUGCUGAGCAAACCUUCUCUGCGCUGAGCUCUGAGGGAAGACUCCAGACCAUCUUCAGUGGAGUUAUUAGGAAUUCCAGGAAUUCUCCUCCACCAGCUACACAGCUACAUAGAAAGUGCCAUAUACAGGAAUCAAAUUUUUGUUUGUUUGUUUGUUGUAGAGGCAGAGUCUGGCUCUGUCACCCAGCCUGGAGUACAGUGGCGAAAUCAUAGCUCACCACAGCCUCGAACUCCUGGGCUCAAGCGAUCCUCCCGCCUCAGCCUCCCAAAGUGCUGGGAUUACAAGUGUGAGUCACUGUGCCUGGCCAAGAAUUGGAAUUUAUUUAUUUAAUUUAUUGUUAUUAUUACAUAUAUAUUUUUGAGGUGGAGUCUUGCUCUGUCGCCCAGGCUAGAGUGCAGUGGCACGAUCUCUGCUCACCGCAGCCUCUGCCUCCUGGGUUCAAGCAGUUCUCCUGCCCCAACCUCCUGAGUAGCUAGGAUUACAGGUGCGCGCUACCAUGCCCAGCUAAUUGUUUGUAUUUUUUUUUUUUUUUUUUGAGACAGAGUCUUGCUCUGUAGCCCAGGCUGGAGUGCAGUGACGUGAUCUUGGCUCACAGCAAGCUCCACCUCCCGGGUUCACACCAUUCUCCUGCCUCAGCCUCCCGAGUAGCUGGGACUACAGGCGCCCGCCACCACGCCUAGCUAAUUUUUUUGUAUUUUUAGUAGAGAUGGGGUUUCACCGUGUUAGCCAGGAUGGUCUUGAUCUCCUGACCUUGUGAUCCACCCACCUCAGCCUCCCAAAGUGCUGGGAUUACAGGCGUGAGCCACUGCGCCUGGCUAAUUGUUUGUAUUUUUCGUAGAGAUGAGGUUUCACCAUAUUGGCCAGGCUGGUCUGGAACUCCUGACCUGUUGAUCCACCUGCCUCUGCCUCCCAAACUGCUGGGAUUACAGGUGUGAGCCACCAUGCCCAGCCAUGUUAUUUCUUCAAUUUUUUUUUUUUUUUUUUGAGACGGAGUCUUGCUCUGUCACCCAGGUUAGAGUGCAGUAGUGCAAUCUCGGCUCACUGCAACCUCCAUCUCCCCAGUUCAAGUGAUUCUCCCGCCUCAGCUUCCCAAGUAGCUGGGAUUACAGGUGUCUGCCACUACGCCUGGCUAAUUCUUUUGUAUUUUUAGUAGAGACGGGGUUUCGCCAUGUUGGUCAGACUGGUCUCAAACUCCUGACCUCAGGUGAUCCACCCACGUUGGCCUCCCAAAGUGCUGGGAUUACAGGCAUGAGCCACCGCGCCCGGCCUUUCUAUUUAUUUUUAUGUGUGUCUUUCUGAAAUCUUAUUAUCUGGGUAUUUUUACUUCUACUUGUACCCUCUGCAUCUUAUAGUUUUUAUUUUAUAUUUUCCUAUUUUUUGUAUUUUGUUUCUUUCUGGGAAAGUUACUCAAGUUGGUCUGCCAGUUCACUAAUGAUUUCCUGAGCUGUAUUCAUUCUAUUUAUCUCAUCUACUUGGACUUGUCAGCACUUCUGGUUGUUGAUUUUUUUUUUUUUUGAGACCGAGUCUUGCUCUGUCACCCAGGCUAGAGUAGAGUGGUGCGAUCUCGGCUCACUUCAACGUUCGCCUCCCAGGUUCAAGCGAUUCUCCUGCCUCAGCCUCCCGAGUAGUGGGACUACAGGCGCGCACCACUGUGCCCAGAUAAUUUUCAUAUUUUUAGUGGAGACAGGGUUUCACUAUGUUGUCCUGGUUGGUCUCAAACUCCUGACCUCAAAUGAUCCACCCGCCUCGGCCUCCCAAAGUGCUGGGAUUACAGGUUGAGCCACCGUGCCUAGCCAGCACUUCUGGUUUAAAUGGCUACCAAGGAAUAAUCAGACUGUUGUAUUCAUUUGUUUAUGCCUUCAUUCAUUUAUUCAUCAAAUGUUCAAUGAAGACCCAUCUUCUGCUUUUGCACGGGGAAUUCACUUUCCAUCUAUACAAAGGAGAAUUACCAAUUUAAACCUCUAGAUUAGACCCACAUUUGCAUCAGCCAACUUGAUGUCUCCACUCUGAGGUAUCUCAAAUUUACUGCGUGUAAAAUUGAACCUGAGAUCUUCCCUAAUCAGGACUAUCUUGGUGGCAAGUGCCAGAACCCCAACCGAAACUGGCUUAAGCCAUUAUGGAAAGUUAUUGGCUCAAUUAACCAGUAAGUCCAGGGUCAGGGUGACUUCAGGGUAAAAUGAUAUUGAGAAGACUCGAUGUCUGUCUUUCCAUCUCUUGCUUCUGGUUUUCUCUCUUCUGACUUCACUCUUAGGCCUACCCUCCUCUCACAGGGGUGAGAUAUCUGCCAGCAGCUUCAGGCUUACAUUCCUCAAGCUCAGCAACUCCCGUGGACAGAGAUUUCUCCUGCCCAUUAAUUCCGUCAUCAGCUCCAUGGUCAAGUCUUGCUGACUUGGCUUGGGUUGGGUUAUAUGCCCAGCUAUCAGUCAAACAUUGUAAUUGGGGAAAAUAGUAUUCUGAUGGACCAGAUUUGGGUCAUGGGCACAUAUCUGCAGCUGAUCAUAUGUUCUGCUAGCUUUGCAACCCCAGUAGAAUGAGACAGGCUCUUUCCAGAGAGCUCCAGCAGAUGUCCAAAGGAUGACUCUCCUCAGCCUACCUUAGGACUCAUGGCCUUUUCCAAAUCAAUCUAGUGUCCUAUUAAUAGGCCUGGAUGUGGAGUUGCCAGAUUUAGCACAUAAAAAUACAGGACAUUUGAAUUUCAGAUACACAAUGAAUAAAUUUUUUUGGAUUAGUAUUCCCAAGUAUGCAUCCUGUGUUUUAUCUGGUAACCCUACCUGGGUCAUAUGUCAACUCAGUGUGGGGGAUGAAAUCAGCUAUACCAAAACCACUUAGUUUGAGUGUGAGAAGAGGUAUCAUUCCAGAAGGAAAAAUGAAGCUGGUGUUUCCAGAAAGAAAUGGAGAUGAUAUGCACAAAUGAUAGUGUACCUAUGUAUGCUCAGUUCAUUGUGACCCACCAGCCUUCCCAGCCUCCUGUAUCCUGCCAAUAUAUGUCUGCUUGGUACAGGAAGUAGGUGGAAAUCCCUUGAUUUUUAGGAAUACAGGCUCUCCCCGCAACCCCGGGGGAUGAAUUAUGGUUAAACUACCAAUGAUAAUUGCUUUUCCUGUUGCCAAAUACUGAAUACAAAUAUUCCUAGCUUCCUUUGUAGCCAGAGACAACUAUGCAACCAGUUCUGGCCAAUGAGAGGUAAGGGAAAAUUUCCUGGGGAGUUUCUAGGGAAGAGUUUGAUUCCCAGAUAAAAGACAGAGCCUCUGGAGGAAAGAACUUUUGCCCUUGUCUCUUUCUUCUUCCUUGGAAUGCUGGUAUGAGCACAUAUUUGGAGCUGUGGUAUACAGCUUUUGAUCAUGAGAUAACAAACAAAAGAGUUAAAAGCCAGCUAAAAAUGAUGGAGCUGAAGAGUGGGAAGAAUUUGAACUAAGUCUGGGACCUCCAACCCCUGGACUUCUUACAUAAACAACAAAGAGCUUUAUAUUUUAGCCUCUGUCCUCUGUUACUUGCAGCCAAAUGUAACACAUACACCCUAUCUGUUACUCAAGCUGAUACACCCCUUCCUCCAAGCCCACUUCUCUUCUACUGUCUUUCAGUUCAAUGAGUAGCAAUACUAUCUUUCUUUUCAUGCAAACUCAAAACUUCAUUCUCAUCCUUGGAACCCCCUUUUCUCCCCUAGUCCAUCCCCUAUUCUGUUAAACUUCCUUCCUCCGUAACUCUGAAAUCUGCUCCUUUCUGCAUUUCCUUCUCCACUGUCUAUUCCUGGCAGCCUCUCUUUCUCUGAUAGUCCAAUUCGAUAGCCUUCUAAUCAGUCUUCCUGCCUCUACUCUUUGUCCCCUUGAAAUAUAUUUCCACAGUUAUUCUAUCAAAAUAAAAAUCUGGUAAUCUCUACAUACACACACACAUGCACCCGCGCGCGCGCACACACACACACACACACACACACACACACACACUCUUCAGUUACCUCCCAUUUCUCUUAGUAUAAAGACCAAAGCCUUUUUUUUUUUUUUUUUUUUGAGACAGAGUCUCGCUCUGUCGCCCAGGCUGGAGUGCAGUGGCGCAAUAUCAACUCACUGCAAGCUCCGCCUCCCGGGUUCACGCCAUUCUCCUGCCUCAGCCUCCCCAGCAGCUGGGACUACAGGAGCCCACCACCACACCCAGCUAAUUUUUUUGUAUUUUUAGUAGAGACGGGGUUUCAUCGUGUUAGCCAGGAUGGUCUUGAUCUCCUGACCUUGUAAUCCACCCGCCUCUGCCUCCCAAAGUGCUGGGAUUACACCACGCCCGGCCUCUUGCUUCUAUUCUUCAUGAUAGAUUUGUGCAGUUUCAAGUCAAUCUCAGAGAUCAUUUGGCUGUCUAUGAAAUCCCCAAAAAGAAUGUCAGGAGAGAGAUCUGACUGGUCUUUCAUGGGUCAGAGUGACCACUCUUACUGGGUAGGCAACUAUAGGCUUUUGGGCUGGAAAGUUUGGAGGAAAGGUGACUGCUGUGGGCCCCAUUCUGGGUCGGAAGGGAUUGAUCUUGGGGACAGCCCUUGGAGAGCUGGCCAGAGAGCAGAGGAGAGCCAUUUCCUACAGGGCUGUGAAGGGAUAGAAUGGAAGGGCCAACCCCUAAGAUGUGCCUCACUCCUGUUACUGUGUCUUGCUAUUAAUUGGAAUGGCAAUAUGUUCUCAACAUGAGUGACUAGACUUCUGUUGUUUCUGCUGUUCAGCAUUACUUCUUGUGUUAACUCCAUCCAGUUUUUCUUUAUAGAGAGCACCCUUAGUCCACAUAGUUGGGAGUGCUGACUCCUCCAGGAGCGGGCCUCUGACCCAGGCUUAAGUGAAUGGCAUAUCCCGUGAGUUUAGUUUCAGUAACUCGUUGAAGGACAGGCUCAUGAUCCAAUGUGAUCCAGUGAGAUUUAGACCUGGGACUUUGUUCACAUUGUUGGAGGAGAGAAGAUCUCUUUCUUUUCUGUGAGCCUUCCAGUUGUCAGGCUGUGAGUCUGGAGGUGCUGGGGUCAUCCUGUAGAAAGACCUUUCCAAAAGGACAGCCAACAAACAGGGGAGCAGGGUAGAGAUGGAGAGAGACAGACAGACAGACAUUAAGAUCACCGGGACACUGCUUGAACCUUGCAUCGAGCCACAUCUGAAGAUCAUUUUUUAAUUUUCAGUCCCAUGAACCAAUACACCCUCUCCUGCUUUAAACUUUUAAGCCAGUUUUAUUUUUAUUUUUAUUUUUAAUCAUUUAUUAUCAAAAGUGUGCUGAUUUGGCUGGGUACAGUGGCUCAUGCUGUAAUCCCAGCACUUUGGGAGGCCGAGGCAGGCGGAUCACUUGAGGUCAGGAGUUCAAGACCAGCCUGGCUAACGUGGUGAAACCCCAACUCUACUAAAAAUUCAAAAAAUUAGCCAGGCGUGGUGGCACAUGCCUGUAGUCCCACCUACUCGGGAAGCUGAGGCAGGAGAAUUGCUUGAACCCAGGAGGUAAAGGUUGCAGUGAGCUGAGAUUGUGCCACUGCACUCUAGUAGCCUGGGCGACAGAGUGAGACCCUGUCUCC
rnacentral:lncRNA from 1 species